UGGCUCCAGGCAAAGCUCAGAGGGGUGUCACACAGGUGCCACUCCACACACAUCAUGGGCAUUUGGUUCUGUGUUUUGUUUUCUUCCAGGUCUCACCAGUGCCAACACAUCCUGCUGCUGCACUGGCCCUCUUCACCUGAGCCCCUGCUUCAACAAGCGACAUGGCUUUGAUUUUAUUAUUCUGCUUCAGAAAUGCACUCAUUUUGGCCUUGAUGACAGAAGAAAUUGUGUUGCCUGCAUGCAAGAAGGUCCAGGACAAUUGCAUGGCUCAUAUUGUGAAGAUGAAAGCACUGCUUUUUCUGGUGCAUCCUUGCUUUGAUCUGCAAAGUGCUGAAAACUAAACCCUACUCAGCAAAAUGCUCCACGAUUGCUGGCUUGCUGGGGAUCUUUGGGACAGAGACAAAAAGGAAGGGAUUUUCUGAGGUGGCGCCAACUGAUUUCACUGCAUCCCACUGAAAUAAUUAUUCAAAUAUCUUCACUGGAAACAAGUGAAACCUUUCAUUUGGCAUUUUAUCGUUGAUUGUAUUAUGAUGCAUCAAAAUGGUGUAUGUCAAGGUGAUAUUUCAGCACGACAUUUUUAAACAUAAUUUUCUGCCAGCACAUACACGGUUCUUCCCCAAGAACUAAAACUGCAGGCCAGGUGCAUGCCAUAGGUAGUGGGUAUGACUAAAAUGACCUUACCUGAUUGAAGGCUGAAUGUGCAAGCUGAAGACAUUACUGCAGUGUUUGGGUGUAACAUUGCAAUAUUUAGAAAUAAAGAAGAUGAGACAGUCCUGUAAUCUCCCAGAAAGGGUGAAUAGCCUGUGGAAGCCUGUACGAAAGAAGCAUUUCCAGGGAAAGCACAUGAUGCCUACAAUCGUAAAGAUGCAGGAAGAGAAUGAGCAUUCAGUAGACAUCAAUCUCCACCUCUUGCAAGGAAUUAAACGGACUUUGGAUGGUAAGCCCAGCUCAGCCAGUGAUUAUGAUUGUUGACAAAAAGAUCCUGAAAGUUACUGGAACUGUAAUUAAAGCAUGGAGUUGGGAGGUAGAGGGCAGCGCCACACAGCACCAGCGCAUCGCUAGUGCUGUCACACCUUUGACAUCUAAUUGCCACUUAGUGGAUCACCAGCAUGGUGGUCUAAGUUAAGCAUGGAGAAUUGCGUGAGAAGCAGGCAGUUCUGAGCAUGGAUCAACACUAUUCACACCGAUCCAAACAAAUAGGAAAAGAAAAGGGCACAUGAGUGCAAUUCUGCUGAGUGCAACAGGAGUAUGAAAAAAUAUUUCUGUUCAGAAGAAGGCUUCCUACUGUGAAACCAGAACAAAACAAAAAACAAAACCCAAAACACUUGCUGUAGUGUUGUCAGGACUUUUGAAAAAUACAUUUCAAAUCUAUGGAAAAUAAGUAAUUUCAUUGUGUUCUAUUUCUUGAGAUAAUGCAAUGUAAUAACUGGAGAAAUGCAAGUUUCAUUUUGAUAUAUGCUUUCUUAGAAAUGUGCCCAACCACCUAAGUAGCAAUAUUUGCACUAAAUGAUGCAUACUUAAGACUGUAAUGUUUAACAGGAUAUCAUGAGGUGUUGUACCAGAAGGUGAAAUACAGCGAAAUAACAUUGGUUCUUUUAACAAAUCAAUUUAAACUGAAUUUCCAUAAACAUAAAACUGCCAACAUUAUUUUUAUGUAAUAUACUUAUUUUAGCAACCCAAUAUCUAGAUACAUAUGACAUGGAACAAUAAAAUUACUGGGGGAAAAACAUAUCGCAUUAGCUAAAAGUAAAAUGUUACUGCUAUCAUUAUUAUUGCUCUUAUUGUCAAUCAUUGCUAUCUGAUAUUGGGGAUGGAUGGCAAAUAAAGUGCAGACAGCAAUC